UAUUAGCCAGGUUUUGAAAUUAAAUGAAGAGGAGGUAAAAAGGUGCAGCUUCUCUUGCUACUCUGUACUAGCCAACCACUUGGCUAGGAAAACACUUAGCAACCUUUUUUCCCUAUGCUCUGUCUUUUCAGCACCAGGAAGCAAAAUAAGUUUAACCGUCAUUAAGUAUUUGGAGUGUGACUCCUGUGCUUGAGAAAAGAAUAUCAAGAUGUUACCAGGGAAAUGGGAAAUAAAAAGAGGAACAGCUAUGUUGAAGUCUAUGAGGUUUUGUUAUUUCCUGUCCCUCGAUUCAUGCAUGGAGACUAUAAAAAGCAGCAUUUUGUACGUGACUAUUUGUAACAACCUGUUUGUUGUAUAGUAUGUUGCAAUGGUAUGGUGCAUGAGUAAGUCUAAAUGCAUUUCUUAGUAUGUCUUACAUGCUCAAUUUUGUCUCGUUUGCUUUUUUUCCC